UGACUUGCCACUCACAAAUAUAUUUCUGUAGUCCUACUGCUUUUGCCUCUCAACACUCCUUGACCUUCUGCCUGGUAACAUCCCUCAACCCUCCUCCAGGAGAAUGUGGCUGCCAAAACUCUUCGCUGACACAUGUGGGUGAGACCUGUGCCCAGUGCUAACCCAGAUGUUCUUCCUUUUUCUUAAAAGAAGGCAAAGAAGGAUUUUGGCUGCAUAAAGGGCUUGUCGAUUUGAGCUUGCUUGGUUCCUGCUGGGUCAGGCUCUGAGCUCUGUACAGGAAACCCUCUCGGGAGUGAUCUCUGAAUGUUCUACAGAACACAUGUGCCCAUUUAUCCCAGCAAGUCUGGAGAGAUUUCUCUGCUCCACUGUGUCUUCCCAGAUUUGAAAAUGCCAGUAUUCCGUGGAGUGUCACGCUGUGCUGUGCCAUCAGAGAGUGGUGGUUCUCGAAAUAUUGGGGCAAAGUGUGGAGACAGAUGGGGGUUCCGGGGGGUUCCAGCUUCUGCGCUUAUGCCCCAGCUGGAUGGUGGCUGGUUUCUGGCUUUCCUGUUUUGUGCCGGGGUUCAUUUUGAGUCAGUACUUCCCAAAUGACAGAAAAGCAUGAGCAGCGUUAGUAUUUUCCUGUUUUCCUUGGGGUUGAUUUAUAUUUUCUAACUCAAAUAAAUUAAUAUUCUACAACCUUUCUAAGAGCGUGCUUCUUAUCACCCAGCAUGUGGUUCUUAUUGUCUUUCUGUAAGGGAUGCUCUACCGUUUUGGUAUCGCCAGCAGACACUCAAUUGUAUUUUUUAGCAUGGUUGUGGCAGUUCGAACUAAUGUACAAGACAUUUUGAAAAAAAGGUAAACACUGAAAAUGGAAAAACAAAACUGAAAACAGAUUAUUUGUGUAAAACCUGAAGAUUAACUAGAAAAGCCAAAGUCGUCAUAUUUUUUAAGUAACAGCAUUUACAAAACUAUUAAAUAUAACAUUAUCUACAAGAUAAGUAGUCAAAACUGGAGUAAAUGUCUGAGUCUUCCCAGUCCCGAAGCAACAGGAAGUAUCUUAGAGCACGUGGGGUAGUGGCAUAUAGGAUAGAGUGAGCCUACCCCUUGCUACUGGAGUACAGACCCAAGAUGGUUAAGUCUAGUG
rnacentral:lncRNA from 1 species